GCUCUCGCGCUCGGAGGGGGAGGGGGGUGCAUCUGACAUCUUCAGGAUGUCUUCCCCAAAGAAGUACCCGGAAUCCUUCCCAGCAGGGUGAAGGCAACCUCUUGUACCUUGCAUAAAAAAUAUGAGUGUUAGCCAGGCAUGGUCCCUUGCAGUCUCAGAGCUUGGUGGCCUGAGGCUGGAGGAUGCCAAGUUGGAGAACAGCCUAGGUUACAGAGCGAGUUUGAGCCAGUCAGGGGUCCCACUCUGUCGACCAGGAUGGCCUGGAGCUCACAGAGGUCCAUCUGCUUCUGCCUCCCAAGAGCUGGGAUCAAAGGCGUGCUCCUGCACCACCAUACCUGGCUGUGAGGCCCGUCUGUUCAUGUGCACAUGGCUGCCGGGUCUCGGUGGCACCUGGGGACGAAGCAAGUUUUCAUCUGCGUGGAUGCGGGGUGGCAGAGACCAACAGCUUCAUCCACUUGGCUCUGUCUUGACAAUCACGGGGGACUGAGCCUUCCGAACCUCAAGAGUUCCUGCUGGUUCCCAGGUCGCAGAAGAGAAUAGGGAAUUGGGAAGGGUCACAGGCACCCUGCGAAGCAGCCUUACAGAUAAGUAUCCCUUCACCAGCCCCCUCUGCACCAGCCUGCUUUCUGCUGGUGCAUCUGUGAAGGAGGGUUGGCUCUGGAACCCCCAAGAGGGAGGGUGGAUAUCCUGUGUAUGACUCUGGCUCUUGAGGAUGGCAUUUGUAAACUUGGACAGACUCCUUGGUCUUGCAGACACAUGGAGACCUCUGCAGGGUUUCCCACGGGACGCAUUGUCUCCACUCAGCUCUAGGCUCCUGUGACAGCCGGCUCCGAGAUGCCUCCCCGUCCCCGACUCAGGCCCUGGAGGACAGAUGUAGUAUAAUUGUCAGAAAAGAGCAAAUCUGAGUGCUGGGUUGAGAUUCAGGGCAUCUUCUCCAUCCUGGUGACUUACAGUGGCCUGGCUGAGCCCUGUACCGCCCUCUGGCUCCAGACAUGUUCUCUGCUGUGGGAGUCACGGAAGGGUGGGGGGCUGAGGUGGGCUGAAGAGCUGCUGUCAUUUCCUGGCCACUGCCCUGAAUGGCCCUUGUGUGUGACAGGGCGGGAUGUGUCCCUGGGUCCAGACAGAGGCAUAGGCUUCCAGUGACCGCAUCAGUACUGAGGUCAGAGUUCCAGUCCCCUACUCUGUCAGGACUCCCCUUUCCGCUGUCCCUAAGCUGCCCAGCUUCCUGUGAGUUUUCCUGGGUCGCAAAGGAAACCACCAUGUGCCCAUGUUUGUGAAGGAUGCUCUGGGUAGCAGGGAAGGAGGAGGCAGGGUGGCUCUUGGGCCCAAAGCAGGCCUUGAGUGUGGUCCUCUCCUGUGCCGGGCUUGGCUCUUCUGUCUUCCCAGAGUCAUCCUGUGAUGUCCGUGUGGGAGGAGCUAGGAGCUAGGCCUGCGAUGAAGUCAGGAGAUGCUGGGUGUCCAGAGGUGAAUGACAGAGACAUGGUCCUCUCCCCUGAGGUCUUCAAGUAAGAAAACGCAUCACCACAGCUCAGCGAGGGGGG